rnacentral:rRNA from 1 species
UACGGAGGGUGCAAGCAUUAAUCGGAUUUAUUGGGCGUAAAGGGCGCGUAGGCGGAAAAGAAAGUCAGAUGUGAAAUCCUGGGGCUCAACCCCAGAACUGCAUUUGAAACUUCUUUCCUAGAGGAUAGGCGGAGAAAACGGAAUUCCACAAGUAGCGGUGAAAUGCGUAGAGAUGUGGAAGAACACCGGUGGCGAAGGCGGUUUUCUAGCUUAUUUCCUGACGCUGAGGCGCGAAAGCUAGGGGAGCAAACAGG